GGAUGGGUAGCCUAGUGGCGAAGGCAAGUGACUGUAAAUCACCCACAUAGAAACACCGCAGGUUCGAGUCCUGCCCCAUCCA
rnacentral:tRNA from 1 species